AUUGAACGCUGGCGGCAGGCCUAACACAUGCCAGUCGAGCGGAUGAAGGGAGCUUGCUCCUGGAUUCAGCGGCGGACGGGUGAGUAAUGCCUAGGAAUCUGCCUGGUAAUGGGGGAUAACGUCCGGAAACGGGCGCUAAUACCGCAUACGUCCUGAGGGAGAAAGUGGGGGAUCUUCGGACCUCACGCUAUCAGAUGAGCCUAGGUCGGAUUAGCUAGUUGGUGGGGUAAAGGCCUACCAAGGCGACGAUCCGUAACUGGUCUGAGAGGAUGAUCAGUCACACUGGAACUGAGACACGGUCCAGACUCCUACGGGAGGCAGCAGUGGGGAAUAUUGGACAAUGGGCGAAAGCCUGAUCCAGCCAUGCCGCGUGUGUGAAGAAGGUCUUCGGAUUGUAAAGCACUUUAAGUUGGGAGGAAGGGCAGUAAGUUAAUACCUUGCUGUUUUGACGUUACCAACAGAAUAAGCACCGGCUAACUUCGUG
rnacentral:rRNA from 1 species